CGGACGGGUGAGUAACACGUGGAUAACCUACCUAUAAGACUGGGAUAACUUCGGGAAACCGGAGCUAAUACCGGAUAAUAUUUUGAACCGCAUGGUUCAAAAGUGAAAGACGGUCUUGCUGUCACUUAUAGAUGGAUUCGCGCUGCAUUAGCUAGUUGGUAAGGUAACGGCUUACCAAGGCAACGAUGCAUAGCCGACCUGAGAGGGUUAUCGGCCACACUGGGACUGAGACACGGUCCAG
rnacentral:rRNA from 1 species